ACGGGACAGGUCGCCCCUUUCUUCCCUGCCUUUUCUACAUUUUUGUCAGGAAGUGGUUACUGUCUGACCCUAAUCGUGUAUUACUUGCAGCCAUCGCAUGGUAAAUUGGCCAGCAGCGGUGGCGGCUUCCUACCUGCGCUGGAAAUUGAGGUGCUUGAUGGCGAGGAAGAAGAGGAAGGCGAAGAGGCCAAUGAUUGCGAGAUGGAGGCAGGUCACCAGCUCAAAGUAGCGAUCCUGCAGGCCUAGGUACCCCUCCAGGAACUCACGCACCGUCUGCACCCCGAGCCCUGGCACCAGGAUCUGCUCCGUCCGGUCUGCGAGCUGUGAGAACAUCAGCCCGUAAACUGUCCAUGCCGCUGGAUCGGCCCAGUACACCCACCGCCACCACACGGGCAUCAGCUGCAGCAAAUUACUCAACUCAUCAGAUGGGUGUGUGUGAUAAGUACCUCUCUCGCGAUGAUGAAGCCAGAGAAGACGUUCCAGAAGAUGAAGAUGAGGAACGACAGCCCCAUGGCGAUCUCGAUGUUGGGGGUCAGGGCCACCGUCAUCAUCCCGUACAGAGUGUAGUACAUGAAGCUCAUCACCAGGUAUAGGAAGAACCAGAAGAACUUGGCCGCAGACAGCUGGAACCCAAUCAUCGGGUACACAAUCGAUGAGAAGAUCAGCACUUGCACCAACAUGUAAGGUUGAUCAUUGAUGUGUGUUGUUACCUGAGCGAUAGCGUAUGCCAUGGUGGAGUACAUGCCUGCCGCCUUUUCACGGUAGAGCACAACUCUCUCCAUUGCCACCACUGGCUGUAGGAUGCUGCAGUUCAUGAAACCCAGGAACAAUGCUGACCCAUAUACGAUUCCAAGUAUGUUGAAUACAUCUUGCUCAACCUUGCUGUUGCACAUGAUAUCUGUGUUAGAUCUUGAUUGGGGGCAUAAAAAUUAAUUUGAAAUAUUCAUGAAAGGUAAUUAUAAUCCACUUACAUGUUCGAGCCAAUUUUCCAGAAUACAACUCCAAACAUGAUUGAAACAGCAAAAGUGUUUAUGAACCGGACAACAUUGUGUUCUGAGUUUUUCCAGUAUGCACAAUUUUGCUUCCACAAGCAUGCCGCACAUUGUGUCGUAAAGUUUUGCCAGUAACCCUGAGGAAAAUGCAGAUCAUCUGUGUUUGGUUCUGGUUGUUCCAAUUCAUCAAUUAGAAGCCUGUUCUCCCUGCAGGUGCCACCAAAAAUUCCAUUAGAUUGACUUCCACCUUAUUGUUUAUACCAGCUAAAAUAAAGUUAUUGCAGCUUUACGGUUGUACUACUGGGUGUACCUGUACAGGGAGGAGUUGCGAUAAAUUUCUGCAUAGUCCACUCCAAUUUCAUAUUCUGUUAUGUGUGAACUGAUGUCUAACACCCAUGCUGCUGGGUUUUGGCCCUUGUUUAUUUUAGGAACGCCUGGUAUGGCCUGUUACAGAGUAAUUCAUUAUUUCUUCUCUAUGUAUCUUACAAAUAUAAAUGUCCAUCUUAGGCAAUCUUACCUCGAAAUACUUUAUCAUGUUGCUAGAGAGUGGACCUAGUGAACCACUGUAUAUAAGCUGACCACCUCUUUUCAUGAGCAGAAGCUGCAAUUGGCCAAAUUGAACUUAAAACUCAAUAACAACAACAACCGAGCCUUUUAUCCCAACCAAGUUGGGGGUAGGCUAGAGUUAAAAACCCAAUAAAACCACAAUCAAGUUUCGGGCACAUGAAUAGCUGUUUUCCAUGCACUUAAAAACGCAAAUUGAACUUAAAAUUCAGAAUGGCUAUUUUGUAGUGCCUAUGCCUACUUUAAUAAAAGAAGGACCAGUUUAUCAUGUAGUUCUUUGAUCGUUUUCUACUUUAGGUUUCGACUGCAUUUUACAACUUUAUGCAUACUUCUAUACACUUCAAUUUGUUUGUCAAGAAUCAUGUUUGUUUUACUUAUGUAAUUACUUUGACACCACUCCAGCACUGGACUAAUCAUGUAUUCAUGUUUCUCAAUUGCUUGGUGUGGCUAUAUUUUUGUCUACCUAUAUGGCUAUACCAUCUGAACUUGUUCAUACCUCAUCAAAAGAUUCAAAUAUCUCGAUGCUUGGCUGAUGAAUUGUGCAGACAACAGUUCGUCCAGUGUCUACCGUCUUUCGUACUGUUCUCAUGACGAUUGCUGCAGCACGAGCAUCCAAGCCGGUGGUUGGCUCAUCCAUGAAUAUAAUGGAGGGACUAGCCACCAGCUCCACAGCUAUUGUUAGUCUUUUACGCUGCUCGGCUGACAGGCCAGUUGCUCCUGGGAUGCCUACCAUGGCAUUCUUUAAGUCAGUGAGCUCAACAAGGCUCAUGACUUCUUCAAUGAACAUCUGAAAUGCAUUUGAAAAUAAAUUGUGUCAGGAACUAGGCUCCAUACUCCAAUGAUAAAGAGGGGUAAGGUUGAAACACAUACAUCUCUUUGAUGAGGUUUAACAUUUGAAGGCAGACGAAGCCAUGCAGAAAAUUUCAGUGACUCAUGAACAGUAAGAUUAGGGGAGUGAAUGUCACUCUGUUCACAGUAACCUGAUAUCCUUGAGAACGUCUCCUGCUUCUUAGGGUAGCCUGCUAUCUUAAUAGUCCCUUCAAUAUAUCCCCCAGUUUUCCUUCCAGCUAAUACAUCAAGCAAUGUUGUCUUUCCAGCGCCAGUUAUUCCCAUCAGAGCUGUUAGUACUCCUGGUCUAAAAGCACCACUGACAUCUUGCAGCAGCUGAAGCUUUUUCUCCGUUGCUCCAUUGUUUGCGAUCUCCUGGUGGGACAUUCGUUUUCUUUUCUUCAAUGUGUGAUUGGAAUUAAUGAAGCUACCAUUUAAGAUUUUAAUAAGUGAUCAAGAUUUUACCUUAGGCAUGUCAACAAAAUAGUGGAUAUGAUCAAAGACAAGGGAGAGGGGUCGAAAUGGGAGGAUAGCUUGAUCAUUUGAUGAAUUGCCAUUUUCAGCCAUCUGCCGGUGGUUCACGAAAUUCGCUUUUGUGGUCUUGAUGUUAAGUUGAUGUUUGUGUGGAGCUGCAAGUAGUAAACAUGGCAGAUAAUCAAUAUUUUCAUUUAAAUUGAAUAUUUACUAGGUUUGUGAUAGAUUGGUAACAUACAGUUCAUGAACUCCAAUGCAAAUAUGCUGAAUAUGUUGAAGACCAGCGAGUAUCCAAAUAAAAUGGCGACACAAAUCCAGUACCAGUGCCACUCUGUGAGCAGCCCUCUGAUCAUGAGGAUAGCUUCACCGACGGUGUUUGCAUUAUUAUAAUAAAAUUCCUAUCAGUAACAAAAGGUCAAGAACCUUAGUGUAAUUAAUUUGAAAAAGGACAUACUACCAUAUAGCUAUAACUUCCAAGUGUUGAAAUUAGUGCUUACCGUAGCCCAUCUUUUGUCAUGGAACUCAUUGAGGGCGAUUGCAUUCUGUGCAUAGGUGAAUGGGGACGUCCAAUAUCCCCAGCGCAACCAUGGUUGGAGAUCAUCUGUUUCAGUGUGCAGAAUUUGUUAGCAACUUGUUGCACAGAAUUUUUAUUAGAGUGUAUGUCGUGUACUCAUGUUUCAUGGUGUAUGCUAAGCUACAUUCACCUAACCUUUUGAUAUGACGAAUCCUCCAAGUAUGUAUAUUGCAAUAAGAGCUGCAGUCCCUAGCAUGUUGGCCAUCACUUGCGUCCUUCCUAUGGCCGCUAAGAAGCGAUACAGGCCCAUUGACAUUUGAUGCAUGGAAAAAAGUACCAGAAAGUGCUGGAAGAACCUGCCAUAAGCAAUGGAGAUCAUUUUCUUACUUCCGUCUAUUGAAGCACCAGAGGUCAUUCAGCAUAUAAGUACCAAGAGAUGAGUACCUGAUAAUGGAAGGUGCAUAUCCAAUCACAUAGUAGGUUAAGCAUGUCCAAAGGCCUGUCUCAAGAAGCGAUAUUGGUAUGCUAAUAAGGUAAACUGAACAAAGGAGUGCCCAUCCUGGCAAUGCUAGUAGCUCUCUUUGCUUGUAGAAGGAAAAGUGUGGAGAUCACCAAAGCCAUAACAGUUAUCUGAAUGGUCUUGAAUAUAUGGACUGGAGAGUUUCUUUUCAGCAGCAGUACUUCCCUUGAAAAGCAUGCUUUGAAAAUAUUCCAUCUGGAUAUUCGGCGACUUGCAUUCACUUUUACCACCUUUUUCUUUCCAGUAUUGUUUGAACUGCACUGUUUGUCUUCUACUAGAAGAGGGAGAUAGGACGUCCUGAAGGAUUGUGCAAAAUUUUCAAUUGUAUGGUACUGAUACUUGUUUUGAUCACCAGCCCAGUAUUGCUUUUGGUCCAUCUUAGAGGUUACCUGGUCAGUGGCCAAUUGAGAAAACUUGUUACAUUGUUUUUGCAAAAGGACAUGGAAAACUUGUUACAUUAUUUUGCAAAAGCACAUGUAUUGCAGAAUAGCGACAUUUUACGCUCCUGCACAUAAUUGUAAGUCAUCUACUUCCUUCUUAAUUUUGUGGAUCUGAUGUAUUAGUUAUCCUCAAACAGUCAAAAAAAAUAUCUCGAAACUUAUCCUCAAACACUGUUAUGUUUAGCUAUUCCUUCUAGGCAUCACUGUUAUGUUUAGCUAUUUCUUUUUUUCUCAAACACGCAACAUAUCAUUAUAUUAAGACGAAAGAAAAUUCUAGGCAGUUAGGCUCAUUUGAUGGUUUAUUACCUCUUGAAGGAAAUCGGCUACAUUCUUUCUGUCAGGGCAUUUGAAUCCCAUACUUUCAAAGAAGUCCGUAGCAUUUUCUCGAGGACCAUGAUACACAAUUUGCCCCUCACAUAAAAGUAUAAUGUCGUCAAAUAAUUCCAAUGUCUCAGGAGGUGGUUGCAGCAAGGAAAUAACCAUUGUGAGAUCCAUCAAAUGGGCCAUCUGUUGGAGAAACUUCAUGAUCUCAAAUGUCGUGGAGCUAUCUAGACCUGUUGAUAUAUCAUCCAUAAAGAAGCACCUUGCUAGACCAACCAGCAUCUCCCCUGCAUUAAACAACAUCACGUUAAUGUAUGCCAACUUAGGUUAGGUUCCAGUUAACUAUAUCUUUACUCUGUUCCUUAUUCUAAUAUUCUGGUUAGUUAAGCAUUCAAUUUUAGAGCUACUCAUUAUUCGUUAUCAUGAAGAUUCCUGCCCUGGUAAGAACCUUUUGCGUUCUUGAGGUGGUGGAAUGUCAGUUAAUGUGGCUUUGUUUCAGAUUGAAGUGUGUGCUUCCAGUGGCAGCUAAAUAAAUCCUAUAGCUAUGUAUUUUACAAUCAGCCAUGAUAGGAAUGCUUACCAAUUGUGGCUCUUUUCUUUUGCCCUCCAGAUAUUCCUCUCCUCAUCUCGUCUCCUACUAGGGUAUCAGCACACUCAGACAGGCCAAGUAUCUGCAUACAAUCAACUGUUACUAUUGUAUCAUCAAGCACAUUCCAAUGACCUUCAAAAUGGAAAGCUCACUAUAUGCAAGAGUAUGUCUUACCGAAUUCGUUAUUGGUUCCGAACAUCUUAGAAGAGAAGUUGAUUGUCUCCCUCACUGUCAUCUCAGCAUGAUGGAGAUCAUACUGGCUAACAUAAGCACGCAGGAUGCUGGGAUCCAAGUCUGUGCGCAUGAGGAGACAUGUACCUUGACGGCCGGAUGACCCCGCUUACUUCGUUUAUGAUUCUCAUAGGUCUUUUCCUGGUAACACACAUAUGGACAGACGUCGCUAAUUCCUGAAAGCAAAAUAAACUCAUCAUCAGAAAUCUCUCUCUCUCUCUCUCUCUUUUUCCCCGAAUAUGACCUACCAACUUUGCAUUGUAAAACAAACACAUGCAUGCCAUACACUUGUAUUUUAGCUCUCGCUAAAGCACGCAGCAGCGUAACCGUAACGAGGCGCGGUAUCCUUUCGAUUCUGGACUGAACUCCAUGUGUUCAAUUCGAACUGGCCUAAGGUUGUCUGCAGAUUUACAAACCCGCUUACAGUCGUGAUUUUGUAAUUUUUAUUUAUGUUUUUCUUACAGCAUAGAACCUGCUGAUGCAUCAAUGUCCCACUAUCUAUUUGGGCACAAGAUGAGCCUCAUUAAUCAUGAGGAAUCUAGCAGACGUGUUGGGUUCUCUUGGUUCACUCCCAGCGCGCAGGGGGACGCCAAGAAGCACUACUGAUGAUGCGGCAGGCUGGGGGAUCGGACAGGCCCACAUUAAAGGCGGUCUCGUCAACGUCAUGGUCUGCGCUGCUUCCUACCACGAGUAAAUGAGGAACUCGAAGCUUGGCAAGACUGAGGAGAGAGAGAAGAAAAGCAGGCUAUACUGCUAUAGCCAGUUUAGUCACAAGUUGAUCAUAAAUUAAUAAUAGAAAGCUAACUACAAAGAUCCGCCAGCAAUCCACUAUACAUUACUCUAAUUGCUUCUUUCAACGUCCUAAAUCUCAGGAAAUACUAUAAGAUCCAUGCAUAGUGCCAUAA